UCCGCGGUAGCUCAAUGGUAGAGCAGCUGGCUGUUAACCAGCGGGUUGCAGGUUCGAGUCCUGCCCGCGGAG
rnacentral:tRNA from 1 species